rnacentral:lncRNA from 1 species
AAGGCAAUGGAACAGCCUUGUUAUCAGACAAAAUGUCAUCAUUACAAGAAGCAGACACAGAAGGCAAUGGAGCAACCUUGUUAUCAGACAAAAUAUCAUCAUUACAAGAAGCAGACACAGAACAAACAGAAGUAGAGGAGUAAUUAAUAGAGGAAGAAGAGGAAGGAGGAACCCAAGCCAGUUGAUAUAAGCCAGCAGCUUCUCUACCAAGAUCCAGAGGCCUCCUCAGAGAAGGGUCCUGUAUCAUCAAGCCAGUUUAUAUAAGCCAGCAGCUUCUCUACCAAGAUCCAGAGGCCUCCUCAGAGAAAGGUCCUGUAUCAUGUGGAGUAAGCAUGAAUGUUCAGUGAACAAAACUAUACAAUGCAACUGCUUCACUAACUUAUAGACAGAAAUCAAGUUGUGUUUAAAAGAAGGAACCAACAGUACAUUGUGAAGAGUGAUAGAAGGAGUCAGUGCAAAAGAACCUGUGCAUGUUACUUUCACUUUAUAGCCAUUAGGAAGAGUGACAAGAUAAGGCAGAGUCAAAGGUGUGAUGUUAAAAAGUAACUUUUUAUCAUGUGUCAUGUGAUUAGAGGCACCUGAAUCAUAUUCUGGAGGACAUAUGUCUGUUCCCCAAG